CCCAUACAACCUCAAAAUAGUAUAUAAGCAUUUGCAUUUUUAAUACAGUGAACUCCAAAUGUCCUGUUUCUGGUACAGUAUGUACAUUCUAGUUCACCAAAGAAUGUCAUGUGAGGUCUUAAACGAAAGCUGGGGUCACACUGCUCAUUAAUACUAUUGUGAAAUGUAUGUAGAGAUACUAUGUAAGGAGUAACUGAAAAUAUGUUCUUAGCUUCUGUAUCAUGGCAGAUGGGGGGAAGACGGUUUUCUGUCAGACAAGAGAUAUUUAUUCAUCUCUCUCUUUGUCGGAUGUAAGUUAAGCAUUGUAAGCUAACACAAUGGAUGCCUAUUUACAUAUGAAGUUAACAAAGAGAUGUGAAGUCCACAGGGAAGCAGCACACAGGAAAAGAAACCAUGAGGGACAAUCAGUGAACUUUGGGGAUAUAAAUAGAAGACAAACAACGCACCCCCUUAUCCUGCCCGUAGGAGUUAAACAGGCAGUGCCUUUAUACUCAUCAAAAUGGGAUCUCAACCAACCUUGGUUGAAACACUUCAGAGGACCUUGGAGGAGGAAUUUCAUUAUCUCAGUGCUAGACCACUCUGUAGUAUUAACACUUCCUCAGCAAUUAUUAGGAAUGGACUACAUCCACCCUGACUAAAUUGGCCUUCAACAUUGGUUCUCCACUUCUAAGUUUCUUUCAGGUAUCCUUGGCGGUAGAGAGGCUCUCUUGAGCCUGCUGAAGACAAAAUGGAGGGGUCUCCCAGGGGUUUAAAUAGACUUUCUCUUGUGGGUGGACAUCCCUCCCUCCCCCUGUGUAGAAUCUAGCUACAAGAUGGAGUUUUGGGGUCACAUGGGCA